GACUUCGUGGCCAAGCUGGUUAAGGCGUGCGACUGUUAAUCGCAAGAUCGNAAAUUUUUCAAAUUUG
rnacentral:tRNA from 1 species